rnacentral:lncRNA from 1 species
CCUUACCCCUCUUUUUAUAGAAAAGAUAGUUGUAAUCGUCGGAUAUGAUCUCGUAUUUUAUGGCCUAGAAUCAUUGGGCUGUAAUCUCGUGGUGAGUUAUUAAAUCCUACGAAUUACGCCGCGAUAUUUGAGAGAUAAUCAUCCAUGAUAGUUAUGAUAUGUUGAAUGAGUCGGCCGACUAUACAUCAGGGAUUGACCGUCGGUUGAGAACUCUGAAAAAUCGACGGUCG